ACUUUCUAUGCCCCCCUAUCAACAAAGAGGGAUCAAGAUACCCACCAACCUCAUUAAGAACCUGAAUGAGACAGUUCAAGUAAAGGUCCUCGUGCAAAGGAUUUCUGGGGAUUUAAGGAGAUAUUUCUAAGUCAAGCUAUCCCUCCUUGAGGACUGCAAGUGUUAUUUAUCUUUGGGGCAAUGGUUUCAAUAUCACUAGACUUAAAAAAUAGGUCAUUGCAACUUUUUGUAAACUGCUAAGAACUGUGGAAUGGUAAGCAAUUCCACUGAAGUUUUUUCUCUGGCUCCAGGACAGAUCACAUUUCUUCUGUUGAGCACCAAAUAAAAUAACUGGCUU